rnacentral:rRNA from 1 species
UACGUAGGCAGCGAGCGUUGUUCGGAGUUACUGGGCGUAAAGAGUGCGUAGGCGGUUUUCUAAGUUUGGUGUGAAAUCUCCCGGCUUAACUGGGAGGGUGCGCCGAAGACUGGAAGGCUUGAGUAUAGGAGAGGUAAGCGGAAUUCCUGGUGUAGCGGUGAAAUGCGUAGAUAUCAGGAGGAACACCUGCGGUGUAGACGGCUUACUGGACCAUAACUGACGCUGAGGCACGAAAGCGUGGGUAGCAAACAGG